rnacentral:rRNA from 1 species
AAAAGUAAAUAAGAGCGUAUGGUGAAUGCCUAGGCUCUCAGAGGCGAUGAAGGACGUGAUAAGCUGCGAAAAGUCAUGGGGAGGUGCAAAUAACUUAUAAUCCGUGAAUAUCCGAAUGGGGCAACCCGGUAUACUGAAGGUAUAUCAUUCCGCAAGGAAAGCAAACCCGGAGAACUGAAACAUCUAAGUACCCGGAGGAGAAGAAAACAAAAGUGAUUCCCCUAGUAGCGGCGAGCGAACGGGGAACAGCCUAAACUCAAUUUGUUUCGGCAAAUUGAGGGUUGUAGGACUGCAAAAUGAGGAGAUUAAUGAAGUGGAAGUGUCUGGAAAGUCACACCGUAGAGAGUGAAAGUCUCGUACACGUAAAGAGAUCCGAUCUAGCAGUAUCCUGAGUAGGGCGGGACACGAGAAAUCCUGUCUGAAUCUGCCGGGACCAUCCGGUAAGGCUAAAUACUCCUGAGAGACCGAUAGUGAACCAGUACCGUGAGGGAAAGGUGAAAAGCACCCCGAACAGGGGAGUGAAAUAGUACCUGAAACCAUACGCUUACAAACGGUUGGAGCCCCCUUGUGGGGUGACAGCGUGCCUUUUGCAUAAUGAGCCUACGAGUUACCCUAUCUAGCAAGGUUAAGUACUUCAGGUACGGAGCCGAAGCGAAAGCGAGUCUGAAUAGGGCGAACUAGUUAGAUGGGGUAGACGCGAAACUUGGUGAUCUACCCAUGGUCAGGAUGAAGCUCCGGUAAAACGGAGUGGAGGUCCGAACCAGUUGACGUUGAAAAGUCUUUGGAUGAACUGUGGGUAGGGGUGAAAGGCCAAUCAAACCAAGAAAUAGCUCGUACUCCCCGAAAUGCAUUUAGGUGCAGCCUCGGUUAUGAGUCUUAUAGAGGUAGAGCUACUGAUAGGGCUAGAGGGCUUCACCGCCUAUCAACCCCUGAUAAACUCCGAAUGCUAUAAGAUGCUCACCGGGAGUGAGGGCAUGGGUGCUAAGGUCCGUGUCCGAGAGGGAAAGAACCCAGACCAUCAGCUAAGGUCCCCAAAUAUACGCUAAGUUGACCAAACGAGGUGCGAUUGCAUUGACAGCUAGGAUGUUGGCUUGGAAGCAGCCAUUCAUUUAAAGAGUGCGUAACAGCUCACUAGUCGAGCGAUUGUGCAUGGAUAAUAAUCGGGCAUAAGUGUAUUACCGAAGCUAUGGACUUGUAAUUUAUUACAAUUGGUAGGGGAGCAUUCCGGUCUGCGCCGAAGGUGUAUCGUGAGAUAUGCUGGAGCGUCCGGAAAAGCAAAUGUAGGCAUAAGUAACGACAAAGGGAGUGAGAAACUCCCUCGCCGCUAGACUAAGGUUUCCUGAUCAACGCUAAUCGGAUCAGGGUUAGUCGGGGCCUAAGGCACACCCGAAAGGGGAAGUCGAUGGACAAACGGUUAAUAUUCCGUUACCUUCUAUAACUGCGAUGGAGAGACGAAGGAGUGAACGUACCGCGUACUGACGGAAUAGUACGUUAAAGGGUGUAGGUAUUGGAGAGGGUUAAUAGCUUUUUCUAGCUGAACCUGAUAGUACCGCGAGCCUUCGGGCAAGUGGAUAGUGUACCUAAUCAUACUUCCGAGAAAAACUUCUAAGCUUCAGGUUAUAGGAGCCCGUACCACAAACCGACACAGGUAGUCAAGGAGAGUAUCCUAAGGCGCUCGAGUGAUUCAUGGUUAAGGAACUAGGCAAAAUAACCCCGUAACUUCGGGAUAAGGGGAGCCUCUACGAGAGUGGAGGCCGCAGAGAAAUGGCCCAGGCGACUGUUUAUCAAAAACACAAGACUUUGCGAAAUCGUAAGAUGAAGUAUAAGGUCUGACACCUGCCCGGUGCUGGAAGGUUAAGAGGGGGGGUUAUCCUUUAGGGGAGAAGCUCUGAAUUGAAGCCCCAGUAAACGGCGGCCGUAACUAUAACGGUCCUAAGGUAGCGAAAUUCCUUGUCGGGUAAGUUCCGACCUGCACGAAUGGUGUAACGAUCUGGGCACUG